rnacentral:rRNA from 1 species
GACGAACGCUGGCGGCGUGCCUAAUACAUGCAAGUAGAACGCUGAAGGAGGAGCUUGCUUCUCUGGAUGAGUUGCGAACGGGUGAGUAACGCGUAGGUAACCUGCCUGGUAGCGGGGGAUAACUAUUGGAAACGAUAGCUAAUACCGCAUAAGAGUAGAUGUUGCAUGACAUUUGCUUAAAAGGUGCAAUUGCAUCACUACCAGAUGGACCUGCGUUGUAUUAGCUAGUUGGUGGGGUAACGGCUCACCAAGGCGACGAUACAUAGCCGACCUGAGAGGGUGAUCGGCCACACUGGGACUGAGACACGGCCCAGACUCCUACGGGAGGCAGCAGUAGGGAAUCUUCGGCAAUGGACGGAAGGCUGACCGAGCAACGCCGCGUGAGGGAAGAAGGGUUUCGGAUCGUAAAGCUCUGUUGUAAGAGAAGAACGAGUGUGAGAGUGGAAAGUUCACACUGUGACGGUAUCUUACCAGAAAGGGACGGCUAACUACGUG